rnacentral:rRNA from 1 species
CUGUGAGCUCGAUGAGUAGGGCGGGACACGUGGUAUCCUGUCUGAAUAUGGGGGGACCAUCCUCCAAGGCUAAAUACUCCUGACUGACCGAUAGUGAACCAGUACCGUGAGGGAAAGGCGAAAAGAACCCCGGCGAGGGGAGUGAAAAAGAACCUGAAACCGUGUACGUACAAGCAGUGGGAGCACGCUUCGGCGUGUGACUGCGUACCUUUUGUAUAAUGGGUCAGCGACUUAUAUUCUGUAGCAAGGUUAACCGAAUAGGGGAGCCGAAGGGAAACCGAGUCUUAACUGGGCGUUAAGUUGCAGGGUAUAGACCCGAAACCCGGUGAUCUAGCCAUGGGCAGGUUGAAGGUUGGGUAACACUAACUGGAGGACCGAACCGACUAAUGUUGAAAAAUUAGCGGAUGACUUGUGGCUGGGGGUGAAAGGCCAAUCAAACCGGGAGAUAGCUGGUUCUCCCCGAAAGCUAUUUAGGUAGCGCCUCGUGAAUUCAUCUCCGGGGGUAGAGCACUGUUUCGGCAAGGGGGUCAUCCCGACUUACCAACCCGAUGCAAACUGCGAAUACCGGAGAAUGUUAUCACGGGAGACACACGGCGGGUGCUAACGUCCGUCGUGAAGAGGGAAACAACCCAGACCGCCAGCUAAGGUCCCAAAGUCAUGGUUAAGUGGGAAACGAUGUGGGAAGGCCCAGACAGCCAGGAUGUUGGCUUAGAAGCAGCCAUCAUUUAAAGAAAGCGUAAUAGCUCACUGGUCGAGUCGGCCUGCGCGGAAGAUGUAACGGGGCUAAACCAUGCACCGAAGCUGCGGCAGCGACACUAUGUGUUGUUGGGUAGGGGAGCGUUCUGUAAGCCUGUGAAGGUGGCCUGUGAGGGUUGCUGGAGGUAUCAGAAGUGCGAAUGCUGACAUAAGUAACGAUAAAGCGGGUGAAAAGCCCGCUCGCCGGAAGACCAAGGGUUCCUGUCCAACGUUAAUCGGGGCAGGGUGAGUCGACCCCUAAGGCGAGGCCGAAAGGCGUAGUCGAUGGGAAACAGGUUAAUAUUCCUGUACUUGGUGUUACUGCGAAGGGGGGACGGAGAAGGCUAUGUUGGCCGGGCGACGGUUGUCCCGGUUUAAGCGUGUAGGCUGGUUUUCCAGGCAAAUCCGGAAAAUCAAGGCUGAGGCGUGAUGACGAGGCACUACGGUGCUGAAGCAACAAAUGCCCUGCUUCCAGGAAAAGCCUCUAAGCAUCAGGUAACAUCAAAUCGUACCCCAAACCGACACAGGUGGUCAGGUAGAGAAUACCAAGGCGCUUGAGAGAACUCGGGUGAAGGAACUAGGCAAAAUGGUGCCGUAACUUCGGGAGAAGGCACGCUGAUAUGUAGGUGAAGUCCCUCGCGGAUGGAGCUGAAAUCAGUCGAAGAUACCAGCUGGCUGCAACUGUUUAUUAAAAACACAGCACUGUGCAAACACGAAAGUGGACGUAUACGGUGUGACGCCUGCCCGGUGCCGGAAGGUUAAUUGAUGGGGUUAGCGGUAACGCGAAGCUCUUGAUCGAAGCCCCGGUAAACGGCGGCCGUAACUAUAACGGUCCUAAGGUAGCGAAAUUCCUUGUCGGGUAAGUUCCGACCUGCACGAAUGGCGUAAUGAUGGCCAGGCUGUCUCCACCCGAGACUCAGUGAAAUUGAACUCGCUGUGAAGAUGCAGUGUACCCGCGGCAAGACGGAAAGACCCCGUGAACCUUUACUAUAGCUUGACACUGAACAUUGAGCCUUGAUGUGUAGGAUAGGUGGGAGGCUUUGAAGUGUGGACGCCAGUCUGCAUGGAGCCGACCUUGAAAUACCACCCUUUAAUGUUUGAUGUUCUAACGUUGGCCCCUGAUCGGGGUUGCGGACAGUGUCUGGUGGGUAGUUUGACUGGGGCGGUCUCCUCCUAAAGAGUAACGGAGGAGCACGAAGGUUGGCUAAUCCUGGUCGGACAUCAGGAGGUUAGUGCAAUGGCAUAAGCCAGCUUGACUGCGAGCGUGACGGCGCGAGCAGGUGCGAAAGCAGGUCAUAGUGAUCCGGUGGUUCUGAAUGGAAGGGCCAUCGCUCAACGGAUAAAAGGUACUCCGGGGAUAACAGGCUGAUACCGCCCAAGAGUUCAUAUCGACGGCGGUGUUUGGCACCUCGAUGUCGGCUCAUCACAUCCUGGGGCUGAAGUAGGUCCCAAGGGUAUGGCUGUUCGCCAUUUAAAGUGGUACGCGAGCUGGGUUUAGAACGUCGUGAGACAGUUCGGUCCCUAUCUGCCGUGGGCGCUGGAGAACUGAGGGGGGCUGCUCCUAGUACGAGAGGACCGGAGUGGACGCAUCACUGGUGUUCGGGUUGUCAUGCCAAUGGCACUGCCCGGUAGCUAAAUGCGGAAGAGAUAAGUGCUGAAAGCAUCUAAGCACGAAACUUGCCCCGAGAUGAGUUCUCCCUGACUCCCUGAGAGUCCUGAAGGAACGUUGAAGACGACGACGUUGAUAGGCCGGGUGUGUAAGCGCAGCGAUGCGUUGAGCUAACCGGUACUAAUGAACCGUGAGGCUUAACCUU